CGCGUAGGUGGUAGUGCAAGUCUGGGGUGGAAUCCCAGGGCUUAACCCUGGAACUGCCUUGGAAACUGUAUUACUUGAGUCAGUGAGGGGAGGGUAGAAUUCCUGGUGUAGCGGUGAAAUGCGUAGAUAUCAGGAGGAAGGCCUGUGGCGAAGGCGGCCCUCUGGCGCUGAACUGACACUGAGGCGCGAAAGCGUGGGGAGCAAACAGGAUUAGAUACCCUGGUAGUCCACGCCCUAAACGGUGGGUACUAGGUGUAGGGCUCGUAAGGGUUCUGUGCCGAAGCGAAAGCAUUAAGUACCCCGCCUGGGAGUACGGCCGCAAGGUUGAA
rnacentral:rRNA from 1 species